rnacentral:lncRNA from 1 species
UUGUAUUUUACGUAGAUGCAGAGAGUGAUGCUGAUGCUACAGAAAUGAGACCUGCCGAGACCAAAAGAAGCUUUAGCCAUGAUGGUGAAGAAGGGGAUGGAGGCCCUAAACGAUUUCAACAGUUUUUAUUUCCUUUCAUUUUUGGCUCUGGUUUUCAGUAGUUACAACUUCUCAAUCAUGUCAUCCAAAUGCAUAAAGGGGUUUUCAUCUCAUUCUUUCAUAUUACUCGAUUUUUUAUUUCAUUUUUCAUAUUGCCAUAUUUUUGUUUUUCAUAGGUGUUAAAACUAAAUUUUCAACUUUUAAAUUAAUUGCCUAUGAUAGAAAAUGAAGUGCUUUACUUAAUUAAAACCAACCAGGAUGAAUCUAACUUGCUCUGUUUAAAGUGUUAAGAGUAUAGAUAAAGACUCUAUUAGUCUAUUAGUUGUUAGUUUGUUAUACAAGCAGUUAUGCUGUUAAGUGAGAUUGUUAGCAGCAGUUACUCAUACACAUUUUAUAAAUACUAUAGUUGUACUGGUUAAAUUCAAGAUAAUAAUACAAAAAUCAUUCUCUGCAUAUUCUAUUUUUCUUUCAAGUUUUUGUAGAUAUUAACAUGGUAAACAUCGGACAACAAUGAUUGACAGAGGCAGCAACAUAUUCACUUGAUUAUUGAAGGUUAUGAAUUGACUGGUUUUUUUUGGAGGGAACGUUACCUGGUCUGCCGCAUUUUGUGCUGUCUUUGGAGGGAUCUCUAGUUCCAAAUCCGGAUGCCUCAGCAUUCUUUCAGCAGGAUAGGUUACUUGCCUCUUUCUGGUUAUUUUCUACUAUUAGUCCUUCACUGUUGUCUUCUUUUACAUAUGCUAGGAUGGCGUGCGAUGUUUGGAACACUGCCACUUGCCUCUUCACUACCGUCACAGGUGUCAAGUUAUCUUGCAUUCGCCAUGAUUUACACUCGCUUAAGAAAGGUAAUCUGUCGAUAAUGGAGUAGGUAGUAAAGAUUCAGAAUACCUGUGCUUUAAUCGAGGCUUGUCGAUCUUGGAUCUCGGAGGCAGAGAGUGUGGAUAUCGUACUUGUGGGCCUACCACCGGAGUUCAACGCCAUGCUCACCUUAGCGUCAUUCUUGUCGGAAGCCUUACCGUUACAACACCGCAUGGAUGAGUUGUUGGAGUAUGGAAGUCGCUAAAUUCGCGUGGUUCAGGAGGUGCCGUUUCAUGCUAACCUUUUGGAGACUAUUCCGUCACCGCCGGUGGUGGACUCUGUGCGUGUUGGCCGUCCCCUACUGGUGGUUGUGGGAAGAGGUUUCGAUCCAAACUCCAAUGUUAGAUCUGUGGUCAGUUUGGGCAUUAGCUCAACGUUUUUAAUAUUGUCAUAAUCGCGACUACAGUGGUUCUGACAUUAGCGGCCUGGGCUUCAAAUUCGACCGAUCGUACUAGGCAGGGUUCGGAUGUUGGUUUCUCAUUUCUAUCGCCCGCCUCUAGUCAGUUUGGUGGCCUUUCGUAGACGGCGCCAUCACGAUUUCUUUCUGGUAAAUGGUAGGGUGGUCACUUGUCUACUGCGCCUCCCCUGUAUAUGUCAUACACUAGGGUUUUUAACCCCUUUUUUUUGCGUUUGAUGAUGGAGCAGGCCUACCGCUUGGGCAUUAUGCUGGGUUAAGCCAACCAUUUGGGCUUGGUCAUGAGUAGCGGUUUGAGCCUGGUCAUGAGGCAGUUCACUGGGUUAGGUCCGUAUUUUGGGCUUGUAA